AUAAACAGUACGAGCUAAGUAUAAAGUAACAGAAAAAACAUCUUAGUUUAUGUUAUAAAAUUAAAGUGGAUAGGUUAUGCCAUAUUUUUUGCGAUAAAAUUAUCACUAUGGUCCGGCAACAAACAACGUAGCUUCCAAGAAAUACUUAAGU